UGGUCCCAGAAUGUUCAUCUUUGAUGAAACAUUAAGUUUGUUCUUUUAACUUAACAUAAGAAAUUUUCUGCUUUGAUUCCUUUCCAGGAUAUCAGCUCGUGUCCAGAAGCAUAUCGAUCAAGACUGUCUGUCCUGCCUCCAAGUGCCCAAGAAACCUCGUCCAGAGCUCUGUACCAGUGAGUGCAGCAGAGAGGCCGUGUGGGAAGGGGAGAGAGCUGGGGCCCUCGGCUCCCCUGCCCAGGUGUGCAAGACACGUGAAGGAACUGGGGUAGCAGUGAGGCCCUGUACUGAACACCUGGAAUGGACCCUGCGAGCCCAGAGGUGCUGCAUCUCAUCCUCUAAGAGGAGCCCGUACCCCACUUAGGGACCCAAGGCCUCCGCAGGAACCCGAGUUUGAGACCUGCACCAGCCUCCCAUACCUCCUUUCCUCCUGCCCUCUUGACCCUCUUUCCCUCCCUGUUUCUUCCCUCCUGGGCCUGGGGAGCACCAAAGAGAACCCAGAAUUUUAACUCAGGCCCCUCCCUAUUGGUCAGGGGCUGCACAAAGGGUGCUGUCAUGCCUGCAUAAACCCAGGAGGGCUCCUGGGCCUGGUCACACGCUGAGCCUGGCCCUGGGCAUGGAGACCGGAAGCUGUUCUGUUCUUAGGAUCAGCGAACAGAACGGGGUGGCAGGGGGAGCCAAGCAAGGCCAACUGGCUCACAGAGGGCCUCAGAGGCAGCUUAACAGCUGCCCAAGGGGUCGCUCUUCUGAGUUGUUCUGGUACUUCUCUCCCGCUUCCCGCUCAGAGCCCUCCCCUCCCCUCCCCACCAUUCCCACCCCCACCUCUACCCCUGCUGUUCUCCUGUAGUGGGGAAAGCACAGCUUCUCUAUCCGAGGGACCCCAGUCUCAGGGCUUAUGGUCCUCUGAGCACAGUGAGCUGCUUGUCCGGGGUGUCCCCACUGGCCCCUCCUGACCCUCCCUGGCUUCUUCAGAGGGAGGGACCUUGCAGAGAGGUGGAGGAUGGGGAUAAUGCCCUCUGGGGCCCGGCUUUCUGGGCAGCAAGGAGCCAGGAUGUGGGGAUGCCUGAGCUUGGGCAGCUGGUAUUUUCCAGGAGCCAGAAGGUGGCAACCGGAUGAGCAGGUGCCCAGCUGCCAGCAUCCUGCAGGCUGCAUCUGCCAGCCUGCCCUCCUCUGCAGGGUGGGGCUGAGCUGUGAGCAGGGCCCCUCAGCCUGCCUCCCAGGGAAGGGGUACUGGGGGUGGGCCAGCAAGGGUUAAUGGAGCCCACCAGCCAGAGCGGGGACCCAGCAGACAGGCAGAUGCCCAGAGGGUGUGCACACGGGAGCGGCACAUGUCGUGAGAAUUGUGGUGAGUCAGGGACCGUGGGUUUAGACAGAGUAGGCUGAGGGCCUCUGGAAAAAGACCCCUAUCAAAACUCCAUGUUAAACAAUUAAUCAAAUCCAGAGUCACAUUAAUUCUCUAAAGUAAAACAUCAAACUAGGAAUAUAAGCAUUCUUCAGUGAGAUUAGUUAAAACUGAAAAGUCAACAAGUAGUGACUAGCAUCUGAUGGACAGUGACUGUAAUGGGGUAUGUGGUGGGGACUUGAUAAUGGGGGGAAUCUAGUAACCACAAUGAUGCUCAUGUAAUUGUAUAUUAAUGAUACAAAAAAAACCCAAAAAAACUAAAAAGCCAGGAGUAGCUUGGCCUGGAAUGUUUGAAUAUCCCCAGACAAGAAAAUGGGAUCGGCAUAGCCCAUGUCUUCAUUGUGUCAAUUAAAUCAUGCUAUUGUAAAAUUUACUCUAGCCUGCUGAAAGGCCCAGCUUAUUUUCUUUAACUUUACCCAGAUGCUGUGUUUUCCUCCUCGAGCCCCUAAUCAAGUAAUUUACAACCUGGGCAAUUAAUAUGACAAGUGAGCCCAGUCACAAACAACAUAGUAAAAAUAGGAAAAACUCCAUCUUAAAGAUAAGAUUGCAUUUUAAAAUCCAAGAAGUCAAAAAAAUAGAUUUCUUAACAUAACAGACAGUAACUCAGCCCUCCUUGGGAGCAGGACGGGCAGUCUUGAUUGAUAUGUUCCCAGACCAGGAAGCUGCUAUCCUGGGGAAGAAUCAAAGCAAUACAUUUAUUGUGUUAACUCUGCAAAAUAAUCCGGAAGACUGAUAAGAAAUUUGGUGUCUCUUCAAAGAUAAGCAUUUAGGGACCAUUUAGUGGGUCUGCAUCCCCAGCCCUUUGUCUCUCAACCACCUAUAAAUCCCCUAGACAACGCACCACCCAGGACUCUCUCAUCCCCUCCUGGCCUGAGCUGGGAGCUCUGUCCUCUCUCUUUAUCUCUAAAUAAAAGCCUCUCAC